rnacentral:misc_RNA from 1 species
CAAUGAAAACUUCGUGCCACGCAGAACUUGCCGAGUGCCCUGAAGCAAUAAAGGGUGACUACAGGAUCCAGGAGAGAGGCUAUGAGGCAAUGCGCAACAUUGUCUGCGAUAACACGCUCAGAGAAUUUCACAAAGCCUUCCAGUGUAGGGACCAGGAGAAGCUGGAAGCCUGCGCGAGAACGAUGUUACCGGCAUCCGAUCCACAGGAUGCUGGCACACCGUCCCCAGUGGAAGAGCACUGCCGCCUACACCCCAUCGAGGUAGCCUGCUUCGACCAGGCAUUCAACUCAACGUGCCCGAUGCCGAUGAAGACGGCCAAGGCUGCGUUUAUGAGGGUUGUGGACGCCCUAGCCCUACUCGGUGGCUGCGCUUCUUCUGCACAUGCAGUUGUGGCUUCUAGGGGAUUUCUUGUGCUCCUGGUUGCCCCCGUCCUUCUUAGUUUGUCGAGAACUUGACCAGAGGACUGAAAAACAGAAAUACAGCUAACUCCAAUAUGGCCUCACCGCAGCCUUCAACGGCCGAGCACA